rfam:Candidatus Rokubacteria bacterium RIFCSPHIGHO2_02_FTLL_73_26 rifcsphigho2_02_scaffold_7112, whole genome shotgun sequence.
GGCACCUGCAAUCGUUGCGGGGCAACGAUCGCCAAGGA